rnacentral:rRNA from 1 species
GACGAACGCUGGCGGCGUGCUUAACACAUGCAAGUCGAGCGGUAAGGCCCUUUCGGGGGUACACGAGCGGCGAACGGGUGAGUAACACGUGGGUGACCUGCCUUUAGCUCUGGGAUAAGCCUGGGAAACUGGGUCUAAUACCGGAUAUGACUCCAUGAUGCAUGUUGUGGGGUGGAAAGCCUUGUGCGGCUGGAGAUGGGCCCGCGGCCUAUCAGCUUGUUGGUGGGGUGAGGCCUACCAAGGCGACGACGGGUAGCCGGCCUGAGAGGGCGACCGGCCACACUGGGACUGAGACACGGCCCAGACUCCUACGGGAGGCAGCAGUGGGGAAUCUUGCGCAAUGGGCCAAAGCCUGACGCAGCGACGCCGCGUGAGGGAUGACGGCCU